AAAAAAAAGGUCCUGCCCUGCCCUGUGACUAUAUGCUUCAACGGCCGCGGUAUUUUGACCGUGCGGAAGGUAGCGUAAUCUCUUGCUCUCUAUAAAUGGAGACCUGUAUGAAUGGCAAGACGAGGGCUCGACUGUCUCCUCUCUCUAAUCAAUGAUAAUUGAUCUCCCCGUGCAGAAGCGGGGCAUACGUCCAUAAGACAAGAACGACCCUGUGGAGCUUUAGACACAAAAAAACACCAUGUCCCUCCCCCACCUAUAAAUGGCAAAACUUAAUGCGCCACCUGCUCCUACUGAUCGUUCCGGUUCGGAGGCGCACGCGCGGCAGAAACAAAAAUCCUCCACGCGAGAACAAGAGCACUGCUCUUACAACCAAGAGUUCCCACUCUAACGUAACAGAACUUCUGACCUAUAUGAAUCUCGGCGAAUGCCAGAUUAACGGACCAAGUUACCCCAGGGCAUAACAGCGCAAUCCUCUCUUAGAGACCAUAUCGACGAGUGGGUUUACGACCUCCAUGUUGGAUCACGACAUCCUAAUGGCGCAACCACUAUUAAGGGUUCGUUUGUUCAACGAUGAAAGUCCUACGUGAUCUGAGUUCACACCGGAGAUCUGAGUUCAGACCGGA
rnacentral:rRNA from 1 species